rnacentral:rRNA from 1 species
CCCCAGACUCCUACGGGAGGCAGCAGUGGGGAAUAUUGGACAAUGGGGGAAACCCUGAUGCAGCGACGCCGCGUGAGUGAAGAAGUAUUUCGGUAUGUAAAGCUCUAUCAGCAGGGAAGAAAAUGACGGUACCUGAUUAAGAAGCCCCGGCUAACUACGUGCCAGCAGCCGCGGUAAUACGUAGGGGGCAAGCGUUAUCCGGAUUUACUGGGUGUAAAGGGGGCGCAGACGGCGAUGCAAGCCAGGAGUGAAAGCCCGGGGCCCAACCCCGGGACUGCUCUUGGAACUGCGUGGCUGGAGUGCAGGAGGGGCAGGCGGAAUUCCUGGUGUAGCGGUGAAAUGCGUAGAUAUCAGGAGGAACACCGGUGGCGAAGGCGGCCUGCUGGACUGCAACUGACGUUGAGGCCCGAAAGCGUGGGGAGCAAACAGGAUUAGAUACCCCAGUAUU